rnacentral:rRNA from 1 species
UACGGAGGGUGCAAGCGUUAUCCGGAUUCACUGGGUUUAAAGGGUGCGUAGGUGGGCAAGUAAGUCAGUGGUGAAAUCUCCGGGCUUAACCCGGAAACUGCCAUUGAUACUAUUUGUCUUGAAUACUGUGGAGGUCAGCGGAAUAUGUCAUGUAGCGGUGAAAUGCUUAGAGAUCCGGAGGAACACCAGUGGCGAAGGCGAUCUGCUAGGCCUGACCUGACACUCAGACGCGACAGCAUGGGGAGCGAACGGG